GUCAAAAUAGAAACUGGUAAAUGUAACACCUGCUGCCACUCACCUACUCUGGGGAGUCUGGACAUACCUUCAGAAGCAGCAGUCCAGAGAUCAUGAUGGUUCAGACCAGGUCCUUUAACACCACAACCAUUAUGAACCUUAUUUUGGGCCGAGUAACCCUCCACUGCCCUCCUUGGUGCUCCCGCUGCGGCCCCAGCACCCUGCAGCUAUACUCAUACUCCUCUGGGUUGGUGCCCCGACCCCCCGCUCCCGCUCCACCUCGCACUGGCUGAGCGUACGCUCAGUCCGCCCUGGUUGGUUGGGAGAGGCCGGCCCCGCCCCUCCGGGCUGCUGAGACGAGAUGGUGCGAAAGAUGUGAUUACGCUUGCGAAGGAACUCUCCACCAGCUGCACCCAACCCAAAGCUGCCCUUACGGAGGACCAUGCGGGUGCUGGCUGACUUGGCAGGGCGAGACCUCUGGUUGUACUCCAGCUGGGACAGGUGGGAAGCGUAGCCAUCCGAGAUGAACUGGAAGAGAUGUCAGGAAGGCUUGGUGCUGUUUGAUGGUGUCCAGCUCGUACGUGGAGGAGUCGCUGCGCUUGCGUGGAAGUUGCCUCUUGGGGUCGUCGGGCCCCGAGCAGCGAGGGAUGUCGAUGUUGCUGCGGCUGAGAUGGCGGCUUCCUUCGAGGGACGGCGAGGAAGGAGAGGCGCUGUUUAUGACAAUACCUGGAGAAAGAAGGAUCUGAUUGCUGCUGUACCAGAGCCAGUGUCCAGGAUGUUUCCUCCAUGCAGGACCAGAAGGAGGACGUGGAUUUUGCACGGCUGGAGACACUGCUGAGACGAACAAUCCUGCAGAGAGUCAGCGGGAAGCUAUGGAUUGUGACAAACAGCAGCAGAUGACAGAUGACGGGGGAGCAAUCGUGCUGCGCUGCUAGCAGGGGUAGGCGUUCCAGGACUCCUCCUCCACUCGAAGGGCAGCCUGAGGCAGAAUGGCACAGAACCACGACGGGAUGUGUUUGCCGAUGUGAUAGACCUUGUGCGUGUACUGACCCGAGCCUCCGGGGCCGUCCUCGUAAGGCUUGUUCUCCAGGAUCUCCACCCCGCUGCCCUCGCCACAGCUCUCCUCUCGGCUCUUUUUCUGCAGAAUCAUGACAGGAUGGAGGGGGGAGGGAGAUGUAGGAUCAGCUUUGGUUUAUCAAAAAUAAAAAAGCAUGUUAUAUUA